rnacentral:rRNA from 1 species
UACGUAGGGUGCAAGCGUUGUCCGGAAUUAUUGGGCGUAAAGAGCUCGUAGGCGGUUUGUCGCGUCGAAUGUGAAAACCCGGGGCUCAACCCCGGGCCUGCAUUCGAUACGGGCAGACUAGAGUUCGGUAGGGGAGUCUGAAUUCCUGGUGUAGCGGUGAAAUGCGCAGAUAAUCAGGAGGAACACCGGUGGCGAAGGCGGAUCUCUGGGCCGUAACUGACGCUGAGGAGCGAAAGCAUGGGGAGCGAACAGG